rnacentral:rRNA from 1 species
AUUGAACGCUGGCGGCAGGCCUAACACAUGCAAGUCGAGCGCGCGGCGGGCGGGUGAGAAAUGUAUGGGGACUGCCCGCUAGAGGGGGAUAACUCCUGGAAACGGUGGCUAAUACCGCAUACUGUCGGAGAGCCCCUAUGGGAUUAGCUAGUAGGUAAGGGAAUGGCUUACCUAGGCGCCGAUCCCUAGCUGGUCUGAGAGGAUGAUCAGCCAAACUGGGACGGAGACACGGCCCAGACUCCUACGGAGGCAGCAGUGGGGAAUAUUGAACAAUGGGCGCAAGCCUGAUGCAGCCAUGCCGCGUGUAUGAAGAAGGCCCUAGGGUGGUAAAGUACUUUCAGUCGGGAGGCGUUACCGACAGAAGAAGCACCGGCUAACUCCGUGCCAGCCGCCGCGGUAAUUC